rnacentral:rRNA from 1 species
UAACACAUGAUCAACUUAUCCCUAUGGACAAAUAUAACCUCGGGAAACUGAGGAUAAUACUUCAUAGUUGAAUAGGCUUGGAAAAGUUUUUCAAUGAAAGGGAUAAGAAAAAUGGUUCUUAUCUGCCAUAGGAUAGGAUCGUGCUCGAUUAUGGUUGUUGGUGAGGUAACGGCUCACCAAGCCGAUAAUCGAUAGGGGCCGUGAGAGCGGGAGCCCCAAGAUGGGUACUGAGACAGCGACCCAGGCCUUACGAGGCGCAGCAGGUGCGAAACCUCCGCAAUACACGAAAGUGUGACGGGGUUACCCAAAGUGUUCUUAUUGAACUGUGGCAGGUGAGUAAUGUCCCCUGCUAGAAAGGAGAGGGCAAGGCUGGUGCCACCGCCGCGGUAAAACCAGCUCUUCAAGUGGUCGGGAUAAUUAUUGGGCUUACAGUGUCCGUACCGGUUUAGUAAGCUUCCUGGUAAAAUCAGGUAGCUUAACUAUCUGUAUGCUAGGAAUACUGCUAUACUAGAGGGCGGGAUAGGUCUGAGGUACUACAGGGGUAGGGGUGAAAUCUUAUAUUCCUGCUAGGACCCCCACUGGCCGAAGGCCCUCGCACU